UGCCCAAGAGAUCGGGAUAACACCUGGAAACAGAUGCUAAUACCGGAUAACAACAGAUGAUGCCUAUCAACUGUUUAAAAGAUGGUUCUGCUAUCACUCUUGGAUGGACCUGCGGUGCAUUAGCUAGUUGGUAGGGUAACGGCCUACCAAGGCGAUGAUGCAUAGCCGAGUUGAGAGACUGAUCGGCCACAUUGGGACUGAGACACGGCCCAAACUCCUACGGGAGGCAGCAGAA
rnacentral:rRNA from 1 species